rnacentral:rRNA from 1 species
ACGCUCGACACCUACGGGAGACAGCAGUGGGGAAUAUUGCACAAUGGAGGAAACUCUGAUGCAGCGAUGCCGCGUGAGGGAAGAAGGUUUUCGGAUUGUAAACCUCUGUCUUUGGGGACGAUAAUGACGGUACCCAAGGAGGAAGCUCCGGCUAACUACGCGCCAGCAGCCGCGGUAAUCUGAGCGGGCUGGCAAGGC